GGCCCAGCCCUGUGCUCAUCAGAGGAAAAGGACCCCCGAUGUAAAAGAGGACGCAUAGUGUAGAAGCAGCCAGAGGAUGAACAGUGUACUUCCUGGGCUGGCAAGGGCAUACGGAACUCCGUGGAAGCUGCAGGUGAACAGCUCCAUCAUCCUGGGGACCCGUUAAUGAGAUGACCUUUAGUUUUGCCUCGAAGGGCAGUAGAAUUGUAAAGGGUGGGAGAAGGGAGACAGAAGGUGUCAAUAUUUCAAGGAGGAGGAACAGCAGAAGAAAGGGCACAGACGAAUGAGAGGCAAUAAUUUGUUUGUGGGACCUCGCGUCUGAAGCCCCCACGGGAGAAGCCUGGUGAGAAACGAGCCAGUGGAAGAACAAGACAGCUCCUGCCAAACCUGCCCAGGCAUUUUAACCAAUUCAGGUUCUUAUUCCACAGUGUACAUCGGAGAGGCACAGUUUAUGACUGAAAUCUCAGCAGGUAGAAGGCUGGAGAAGGAUUAAGAGAUCAACCACAGUCCACCCUACGUAUCGUAUCGGGAGUGAGUCUCGAGCAAACAAAGAAGUUAACCAAUAACAAGAGCCACUGGGGUUGCAGUGUGGAAGUUAGUGUAAAGGAAGAAAUCAGAGGCAGGAGGAAUUGCUGAUAAAGUACUAGAGUCACUCCAGGUAGAGGAGAAGCUGAGGAGACCGGGCAGAGAUUCGAUAUUAAAACCAAAGAG
rnacentral:lncRNA from 1 species